UACGUAGGCAGCAAGCGUUGUUCGGAGUUACUGGGCGUAAAGGGUGUGUAGGCGGUCCUCUAAGUUUGGUGUGAAAUCUCCCGACUCAACGUGGGAGGGUGCGCCGAAAACUGGAGGGCUAGAGUACUGGAUGGGAGAGUGGAAUUCCUGGUGUAGCGGUGAAAUGCGUAGAUAUCAGGAGGAACACCUGUGGUGUAGACGGCUCUCUGGACAGUAACUGACGCUGAGACACGAAAGCGUGGGUAGCAAACAGG
rnacentral:rRNA from 1 species